rnacentral:lncRNA from 1 species
UACUUCUCUCUGUGAGUUCUUUUCUGCUAACUCUCGGCCUCUUUCUCUCAAGCAACCUGUGUGGUUUCCUCUUGGACUAUAUUGGUCUCAUCUUGGCCGAUCCUUUGUGGGUAUGAAUAGCAACCGUAGGUGGGAAGAAGAAAAGAGAGAUUUGGGUGUGUCUCACUAGUGGUGGUGUCGACUUUGGUGGAAACUGAGCCCGAUAUCACCUUGGGUAUUGCUGGAUUUUGGUCUCACAUCUGGUAUCAGAGCCAAGGUCAUCUUCGCCAGCAAGGAAUCAACCAUAACUGGCGGCGAGUUUGCAAUUUUCAAAGGGCCGAACCUGCAACUGCUUAUUCUGACCAAAUGUGACCUCCGUUGGACGAACGGAGGCCAGACCAUAACCAACAGGUGGAGGCGCCUCUGGUGGUGAGGUGACCGGCGGCGACGACUGGCGAUGGUACGUGGUUGUCCGGCGACGGUGCAUGGAGGACCUCUUGCGUAGUUUUUUCGUGCCAUUUCAAUUAUUUUAAUUUCCUGAACGUAUUAAUAUGUUUGGUUUAGUGUUUUAGGUUGUGCAGAAAAUUUUUGACGAUUUUGCCCCGAUUACAAUCUACAUUUGUUGCUGAACGAACUGUUAUAUUUGCUAAACCUUUAGGGCGAAUAGUGGUGGCCCUAAUGCAGCAAAUUCGCAUCUCUCCACAUUACGGACUCAAAUAGAUCCGCUCUGAUAAAUUGGCUUAAACCUUUAUAUUUUUGCACUAGCAGAUCAUCGUGUGGGGUGAUCAUUAGGUUUGGAGGUUGCCAUUGCUUGUGCUAGAAUUAGGGUUACGUUUCUUGAUUAUUUGAUUGAGUAUUUGUCUUUUUGUUAAAUCAGUAUUUGAGCCUCAGUGACAUAACUAUCGUGAAACUAAUUAUCUAUUAGACAUAGUUUUUUCUGUUGCAUUGUUAUUUUCACUGCUUAUCCAUUCCAUUAGAAUUACUGUGACCUUACCUGUUUUCAAAUAUUCCUUUGAUCCAAGGCCCCAAGUCUUACGAAACCCUGAGAAUCUUGAACGGCGUAUAUUAUCUGAAACCCUAAGACUACUUUGUAUGGUUUGAUUGUGUUUUUUGUGCUAUCUUUAACUAUUGUGUAAAGAUGACAACUCACAACUUUGAUUUGGGGAUUUUUAAUGGAAAGGGUGAUUUUGCUAUUUGGCAACAAAAAUUGAAGGGCAUUUUAGUCCAACAAAAAGUUUCAAUGGCCAUUGAAAGCAAAUUUUCAACUGAUUUUCCCCAACAACAAAGAGAAGAAGCCGAUGAGCGUGCUUAUACCUCAAUCAUUUUACACUUGUCUGACGUCAUUUUAAGAAAGGUGGUAAACUGAAAACCACUAAAGAACUUUGGAAAAUAUUGGAAGACUUAUAUUUGCUUAAGUCUACAUUGAAUAAACUUGCUCGAACGUUUUUUCAGUUUUAAAAUGGAUCCUUUAAAAGAUCUCGAUGACAAUUUAGACGUGUUUAACAAAUUGAUGCAAGAUAUAGUUAAUUGUGAUGAGACUAUGUCCGAAACUUAUAAGGCUAUAAUUUUGCUCAAUGCUAUUCCUGAUUCCAAUAAGGAAGUUAAGAACGCCAUUAAGUAUGGUAGAGACACGUUGAUACCUGAAAUUGUCAUAGACUCCUUUAAAAGUAAAGAAAUGGAAAUUAGGGCUGAAAAACACGAUAAGAGGAACGGUGAGGUACAUAUGUUGCGGGGUAGAACUCAAUUUAGGCAAAAUAGUCAUGAUUGAUAUCAAAUUAGUGGCGAGUCAAGUGGUAAUGGAUGGAAAAAGAAGAGCAAAGGUAGGUCUAGAUCAAAAUCUAGGACUAAAGCAAGAAAAUGCUAUGGUUGGAGAAACAUGAGGCAUUUUAUAAAGGAUUUUCAUAAGGAGAAGGGUAAUCUAAAGGUUAAGGAGAGAGAUGAGGUAAAUGUGUUAGCAUCUACUUCCGAUAUAAAUGGUGGUGAGGUCUAUAUAAUUACAAGUCCCGUUGCAUAUACUGCUGAAUUAAAUCUAACUGCUAAUUCUCGCAUACAUGAGUGGAUACUUGACUCUGGUGCAUCUUUUCAUGUUACGUCUAAAAAGAAUUAGUUUUAUAAAUUGCAUGAAUCUAAUGUUGCGUAUGUUGUGCUGUGUGAUAACUUUGCCUAUACUAUUGUUGAAAUUGGUGACAUAAACGUAAAAUUUGAUACAGGUUUUGUGUACACGUUAAAGGAUGUUAGAUAUAUUCCCGAAUUGUCUAGAAAUCUGAUUUCAGUAGGGAGACUUGAAAAUCAUUACUUUACUGGUAAAAUUGGAAAUGAUAUGCUAAAAAUGAUCAAGAGUGCUUUAGUUUCCAGUAAGAGAAUUAAGAAAAAUGAUAUAUAUAUAUUACUACUGGGGAGGUGAUUAGAGGUUUGAACUCCUCUAUCUCUUCUGCCAAGAUUGAUCACACACACACAUGGCAUAAUAGACUUGCCCACGUAGGCAUCAAGGGACAUAAGCUACUUAAUGAAAAAGGUGCUUUUGGUAAUGACUGUGUGUCAGAUUUGUCAUUCUGUGAUCAUUGUGUGCUUGGUAAGCAUUAUAAAACUUCUUUCUCCAUGAGUGUCAAUAGAGCUAAAGGUAUGCUUGAAUAUGUGCACUUUGAUCUGUGGGGUCCUGCUAGUAAUCCCACAUUGAGUGGGAAUAGGUAUUUCCUGUCUAUUAUCGAUGACUACACUAGGAAAGUAUGGGUCUAUCUAUUGAAAGAUAAAUCUGAGACCUUUAAUAGUUUUAACAAUUGGAAGAGACAAGUGGAAAACCAAACUGGCAAGAAAAUCAAAUUUUUAAGAACAGAUAACAGCCUAAAAUUCUGCAAUAACGAAUUUGAUAGUAUGUGUAAAGAAAUUGGCAUAACUAGACAUAAGACCGUUCCUUAUACUCCUCAGCAAAAUAGGGUAGCAGAAAGGAUGAAUAGGACCAUACUUGAUAAAGUUCGUUGCAUGAUGUUAAGUUCUGGUGUUCCCAAGUCAUUUUGGGGUGAGGCUGUUAUGACUGAUUGUUAUUUGAUUAACCUGACUUCUGCUGUUGUAUUGAAUGGUGACACUCUACAUGAGAGAUGGUCGGGUAAAUUGAGCGAUUACUCGAUGCUUAGAACUUUUGGCUGUACAAUUCUUUCUCAUCAAAGUGAGGGAAAUAUGGAACCUAGAGCUAGAAAAUGUGUCUUUCUAGGAUACCACGAGGGUGUUAAGGGUUAUAGGUUAUAGGAUAGAAGCCAAAAAGGAGUUAAGAUCACCAUAAGUAAGGAUGUCACGUUUAACAAGAAUGAGAUGCCGUGUAUUAAAGGAAAAACUGAACCUGAGAGUGACACUGAACCAGGUGAAGAGAGAGACCCGUUUAAGGUGGAGUUAAGAAAGCUCAGUACACCUGCCCCUACUGCUCCUAAUGAGGUAGAGAUUUAAGUUCAGGAACCUGAGGUAGAGAAUAAUAACGAAAUAGUGAUAGAAGAGCACUAUAAGGAAGAAAAUCCUUUAGCUAACUACAACUCAAUUAGGGAUAGAGAGAGGAGACAAACGAGAGAACCUAGAAGGUUCGAUUUUAAAUUUGAAUUAGCUUUCGCCCAGGCUAGUUAUGAAGAACUAGCUGAUAAAGAGCCAAAAACCUUUGAAGAGGCAAUAGGCAGUGAUCAAUCUAAUGAAUGGCUUAAGGCAAUGAAAGAAGAUAUGAGUUCUCUAGAAAAAAAAUCAUACUUGGGAGCUAGUACCUAGGCCUAAGAACAAAUCGAUUUUUGAUUGCAAAUGGGCCUUUAAGGUUAAGGAAGGUACUAGUAGCUCGGAACCCUUAAGGUUUAAAGUUAGGUUAGUAGCUAAAGGUUACACACAAAAAGAGGGCAUCGAUUAUAAUGAGAUUUUCUCACCAGUCAUGUUCGCAUUGGUUGCACACUUUGAUUGGGAACUUGAACAACCUGAUAUAAAAAUUGCCUUUUUAUAUGCUGAGUUUGAUGAACAAAUCUUCAUGAAUCAACCAAAAGAUUUUAAGGAUAAGUCAAAACAUGAUUAUGUGUAUUUUCUGAGAAGAUCCUUGUAUGGGUUAAAACAAUCUCCUAGACAGUGGUACAAGAGAUUUGAUUCCUUUGUACUCACUAUAGGGUUCCAAAGAAGUAAAUUUGAUCACUGCUUGUAUUUUCAACACAAUGAGACUGAUGAUAAUUAUUUGUUUUUGUUGCUCUAUGUGGAAGACAUGCUCUUGAUUGGAUCAUUCUCUAAGUGAAUAAAUAACUUAAAAGGAAAACUAAGUGGUGAAUUUGACAUGAAAGACCUAGGUAAGGUUAAGAGAAUCCUAGGUAUGGAAAUAGAAAGAGAUGGGUCAAAUUCCGUUUUGUUUUUGUAUCAGUCUCCAUACAUAUCCAAAGUAUUGAAAAAAUUUAAUAUGAGUGAUUGCAAACCUGUCACAUUACCCCUUGCUAGCCUUUUGUUUUAUCUAAAGAACAAUCUCCUUGCAAUGAGCGUGAAAUAGAAUACAUGAGUAGAGUCCCAUACUCUAAUGUGAUUGGUUCCAUAAUAUAUUUGAUGGCUUGCACUAGACCGGAUUUAGGUUUUGCUGUCAGUGUUGUUAGUAGGUUCAUGGCUAAUCCGGGCCCUGAACAUUGGGAAGCAUUAAAGUGGUUAUUAAGGUACUUGAAAGGUAUGGGUGACGUAGGCCUAAAGUUCAGUGCUAAUAAGGAAGGUGUAAAAUUGAAGGGUUUUGUAGAUGCUGAUUAUGUGGGAGAUAGGGAUGGUAGGAAAUCGACUUCCUCUUACGUGUUUACCCUAUCAAAUUCAUGUGUUAGUUGGAAAUCACAGUUACAACAUAUUGUUGCACUAUCUACCACUAAAUCUGAGUAUAUUGCUACUACUGAAGUAAUUAAAGAGGCCUUAUGGCUUAGAGGUUUACUUCAUGAACUAUGUGUCUUAAAUGAAUAUGUGGUUAUGUAUUCUGAUAGUCAGUCAUCUAUACAUUUAUGUAAGAACCCUAUUUUUUACGAACGCACUAAACACAUUGAUGUUUGACUACACUUUAUUUGAGAUAUUGUAUCUCAAGAGGUGGUAAAACUUGAAAAGUUCACACGCAAUAUAAUCCUUCAAAUAUGGGCACGAAAGUGUUGCCACCGGUAAAGUUUAGAAGUUGUAAGGAUCUUCUAAACAUUAGUAUAGGUAAAUGAUUUUCAAUUUUAUUGGUUUUCUGUUAGAGGUGUCACUAAUGGAAGACAUUUUGUUUUGCAGGUCCUUUGACACCAAGGUGGAGGUUGUUAGGCAAUUUGUUGUCAAACGACCUCUCGGGCAAUUAUGUAAUAUCGGUUUUAUUUAUUAUCAAACGGCCUUGGCCAUAUGAUUGAACUUAUGUUGACACUACUGUCGAGACAACCCAAUCCAAAUUUCUACGGGCCAUUAGAAGCAGCCUAUUUUGAUAGUGUUGCUCGUGGCCCGUCCCAUUUACUUGGAUGGCUACGAUAUUCAUUUGGAGCCCAAUACCUUUGUGUUAAGCCUCUUUUGGACCACUAAGUUAACCUACCCUAACUUACCAUAUAUGGUUGAUAGAGUGAACAAGAUUGCAUUUUUAAUGCUGAUUGCUCAUGAUUAUUUGCUAAUAAACAAGUAUAUUUGGGAUUAAUAAUGAUAUUUUUAUAUAGUUAAAUGAAGGUCAAUCCUAAUUGUGGUGUUUACAAUUUUAUUAUAGAAAAUGGAGUCCAAAAAUAACAAAGUUCAAGGCACAUAAGAGAGAACUCAAUUCAAGUGGACUUAACCCAGCCCAAUCAAAAUAAAAUAGAUUGGAAGAUUAAUGAAGGGAGCAAAAUCUGUGGAAGACGUCUCUUGCUGUGAAGAAAUCUCGAAUACUGCCCUUCGUAUUUUCACCAUAUGUCCCUCAUUCGAUGUCGUAUUAAGCUGAUUCAAGAGGCCUUGGAAAGUUAAUUUAACGUGCUACAAUUUCUCCUGAAAUAGAGAUUUUGAAAUUCUCGCGUUUUCUAAGUGAAAAACGGCCCACAAUCCAAGGCCAAAAAUCUACCGAAUUGAAGAGGCAGAUUCUGGAUUGAUUCUUUCUUUUUCGGGUGAAGAUGGCUUGAAAGAAAAAAAAAAAAAAGUAGAGGACGACCAAGAAGGCUGGGACCAAGGUGGAUCGAUUCUUUUUCUUCCCUUUUGGGGGAAGCCACUCCAAGAAAACAGGAGACCAGAUUCAUUGAGUUUUUCCUUCUUCCCAUCUCUUUCAAUUUCUUAAUGUUAACUCUUUAUUUAAACUUUUCUUCAAUUUUAGCAUGAAUUAAUUUCUAUAUUCUAGAGUUUGAGAUGUAGCCAAACUAUGAUUAUGUGAAUCUUCCUUUACUUGAAUUAAUUGGUAUUUGUUCCAAUUGUUGAGUAUUUCAUCCUGGACUUAAUGCUUGUGAAUUGACCGAUCACCAUUCACUUUGAGACAUAGAAGUAAUAAUUGUUUCAACUAAUGUUUGAGAUAUCACAAGAAUUCUGUAAGAUAGAGAUAUCUACGGACUUGUGUAAUCUUUAUAGGUUUAUUUUUGUUCUUAACGAAUCUUGACAGGCUUAAAAUUUUCACAGAGAUGUAGAAAAUUUUCUUGUUGAGAUAUUUUGUUAAUGCUUGAGAAAGAUUAAUGAAUAAAUUAGAAAAACUUGAUUAUCAACAAUUAGGAACACUCACAAUUAAUUCAAUUAGGAUAUUCACAUAUGAGUAUUUAUGGUGAAUCGAAAACUCUAGAGUAUUGUUUUCUUGAUUUUAACUUGCUUGUUCAAUUCAUCUUAGUUUAAACUUUCUGAUUUAAUAAUUCAUUUACAUUCAAAUUGUCAAAUAGAUCAUCAUUUAAUAAAUUUUGAUAAUUAUUCGUAAUUUUUCAUUCCUCGUCGGACAAUACUCUUACUCAUUCACUUUAUUACUUGUUACGACUCGUGCACUUGCGAUUUCAAUCAACAAGUUUUUGGCGCUGUUGUCGAGGAAUUAGAUAAAAUUAUUGAUAAUAUCAAUACUAGUUAAAUUUGAUCUAAUUUGAUUUUUUUAUUUCCAGGUUUUGCUUAGUGCAAGAGAAGCAAAAAGAGGUUGGAACUGCUACCUUAUGAUCCAGAAAUUGAAAAAACAGCAAAAAGACUGAGGAAAAAGAAGCGAGAAGCUUGAAAAAAUUCAAACACUAUGGCAGACAACGAGAAUCCAAGACGUGACACACAAGCUCUAAGGGAUUUUGCUCUUCCACAGGUCACAGGAAUCAAUUUAGUCAUCAGGAAACCUAGUAUUGCAGGCAACAACUUUGAGAUUAAGCCAGCUAUCAUACAAAUGAUCCAAACAUCAAUUCAAUUCCAUGGAUUUCCGAGUGAUGAUCCCAAUGCCCAUAUAGCAAGUUUUCUGGAAGUUUGUGACACCUUCAAGCAAAAUGGUGUUAUUGAUGAUGCCAUUCGCCUCCGGCUAUUUCCUUUCCCUCUUUGAAAGAGAGCAAAAAGUUGGCUAAAUUCAUUACCUGCAAAUUCAAUCACUAGUAGGGAAGAUUUAGCUCAGAAGUUUCUCGCUAAAUUUUUUCCACCAGCCAAGACAGCAAAGAUGCGCAAUGAAAUUUCAAAAUUUUCUUAAUUCGAGGGUGAAACACUUUACGAGGCUUGGGAGCGAUAUAAAGACCUACUUAGGCGAUGCCCUCACCAUGGAUUGCCGAAGUGGAUUCAAGUUUAGAACUUCUAUAAUGGACUUGUUGCCUCUACAAGAACUCUAAUAGAUGCCGCUUCAGGAGGAGCGUUUAUGGACAAAUCCCUAGACGAUGUAUAUGAUCUGUUGGAGGAGAUGGCGAUGAACAACUAUCAAUGGCCAAAUGAGAGAAUUUUAUCGAAGAAAGCAGUAGGAGUGCAUGAGGUUGAAGCUAUCACUACCUCGACAGCUCAAGUCCAUAAUCUUACUCAACAAUUGAAGGCCAACCAACUGACAGUAAAUGCCAUUCACUUGACACCACCAGCUUGUGAUUUUUGUCAUGGAAACCAUCUGAGUGAAGGAUGUCAAGUGGGAAAUCCCUUCUUUCAAUCCCAAGCAGAGCAAGCACACUUUGUUACAAAUUACAAUCGGUAAAACAAUCCAUAUAGUGCAACAUACAACCCUGGAUGGAAAAAUCACCCCAAUUUUUCAUGGUAUAAUCAAAAUGCAUUGAAACCUCCACCUGGUCCGUCAUCUAGUGAUCCGCCGAAAGAGAAGUCAGCACUUGAAGAAGCAAUGGCACAAUUAGCAACUAACACCAACAAAUUCACAAUAGAGACUAAGACCAAUUUUUAGAAUCAAGCGGCUUCAAUACGGAAUUUAGAAGUCUAGGUCGGUCAAUUGGCUAAUAUGCUAACUGGGAGACAACAAGGAAACUUGCCUAGCAUGACUGAAGUGAAUCCAAAGGAACAGUGCAAGGUGAUCACUUUGAGAAAUAGAAAAGAGUUAGAAGCUCCAAUUACUGUUGAAAAGUUUGAAAAAGAAGAUCAAGAGAUACAACUCCACACACAAACGCUUAGCGAAGAGAUUUCUAACAAUCAACCAAUCCCACCACAGGAUCUAGCACCAAAAGUUCCAUUCCCUCAACGACUCAAAAAGAAUAAGCUUGAUAAGCAAUUUUCUAAAUUUUUAGAUGUGUUUAAAAAAAUUGCAUAUUAACAUUCCUUUUACAGAAGCUCUCGAACAAAUGCCAAGUUAUGUGAAAUUUAUGAAGGACAUCUUGUCAAAUAAGAGGAGAUUGGAAGAAUAUGAGACAGUAGCCCUUACUGAAGAGUGCAGUGCAAUUCUACAAAAGAAAUUGCCUCCAAAGCUCAAGGAUCCAGGGAGUUUUACUAUCCCUUGUUCAAUUGGAAAUUCUAUGUUUGAAAGAGCUUUAUGUGACUUAGGUGCAAGUAUUAAUCUUAUGCCUUUGUCUACUUUUAGAAAACUUGGACUAGGUGAGGCGAGACGUACUACAAUAUCAUUGCAAUUAGCAGAUCGCUCAAUAAAACACCUAAGGGAAAUUAUUAAGGAUGUGCUUGUUAAGGUGGACAAGUUUAUUCUUUCAGCCGACUUCCUCAUUCUAGACAUGGAGGAGGAUAGGGAAAUUCCUAUCAUUCUUGGCAGACCAUUCUUAGCUACUAGUCGAGCUCUAGUUGAUGUCCAAAGGGGAGAAUUGUGGUUGAGAGUACAAAAGGAGGAGGUAACCUUUAAUGUUUUUGAUGCCAUCAAGUAUCCGGAUACAAGUGAGAGUUGUUUCAGCAUCCGAGCAAUCGACUCCUUGGUCACUGAAGUAUUUAACCAACAAAAGGAGUAGUUGGAAGCUUGUUUGGUUAACCCAAUCCGACUAUGGUGGAGGAUCCGGAAGUGUUAGAAUAUGCAUUGUGGAUGGAUUCUUUUGGUCCUAACCACAGAAAAUAUUUUGAAGAUUUGGGACAUGGAACAUCACGGCCCUUUCCAUCUAUUGAGAAACCACCCGCAUUGGAGUUUAAGCCCUUACCUGAACAUCUUCAAUAUGCGUAUCUUGGUGAAUCAUCUACUUUUCCAGUAAUUAUUUCAUCCAAGCUUUCGAUUGAAGAAGAGGAAAAGUUGUUAAGAGUGCUUAGAAAACAUAAGGCAGCUAUUGGAUGGACACUUGCAGAUAUCAAGGGAAUUAGCUUUUCUAUUUGUAUGCACCGAAUUUUGUUGGAGGAAAAUUGCAAGCCAACGGUGGAGCAUCAAAGAAGACUCAAUCUGACAAUGAAGGAAGUGGUGCGUAAAGAGGUCUUAAAAUGGUUAGAUGUCGGAGUGACUUACCCAAUUUCUGAUAACUCAUGGAUCAGUCUUGUGCAAGUAGUACCAAAAAAGAGAGGAAUGACAGUGGUGAAGAAUGCUAACAAUGAGUUGAUCCCUACAAGAAUAGUUACUGGGUGGAGAAUAUGCAUGAAUUAUCGAAAAUUGAACAAAGCCACUUGGAAGGACCACUUCCCCUUGCCAUUCAUUGAUCAAAUGUUGGACAGGCUAGCCGGGCAUGAGUACUAUUGCUUCCUAGAUGGCUAUUCGGGGUAUAAUCAAAUAGCCAGAGCACCAGAGGACCAAGAGAAGACCACCUUCACAUGCCCUUAUGAGACUUUCGCCUUCCGUCGAAUGCCAUUUGGACUUUGCAAUGCGCCAGCCACCUUCCAAAGGUGUAUGAUGUCAAUCUUUUCAGAUAUUGUAGAGCGAAUUAUUGAAAUUUUCAUGGAUGAUUUUUCUGUAUUCGGAUUGUCUUUUGAUGAUUGUCUUGGGAAUUUGGCGUUAGUUUUGAAGAGAUGUGAAGAAACUAACCUUGUACUUAAUUGGGAAAAGUGUCACUUCAUGGUAAAAGAGGGAAUUGUCUUGGGUCAUCGGAUCUCUUCAAAGGGGAUUGAAGUGGAUAGAGCAAAAAUUGAGACAAUCGAGAAGCUUCGACCACCAACAACAAUAAAAGGAGUACGGAGCUUUCUUGGACAUGUCGGAUUUUAUAGAAGAUUUAUUAAAGACUUUUCCAAGAUCUCCAAACCCCUUUGUAGCUUGCUUGUGAAAGAAACACCUUUUGUGUUUGAUGAAGAAUGUGAUAAGGCGUUCUUGCCACUAAAAGAGAAGCUUGUGUUGACUUCGAUUGUUAUAGCUCUGGAUUGGGAUCUACCGUUUGAAUUGAUGUUCAAUGCAAGUGACUAUGCUGUUGGUGCAGUAUUGGGCAGCGAAGGAACAAAUGGUUUCAUAUCAAUUAUUAUGCUAGUAGAAUUCUUAAUGAUGCCCAACUCAACUAUGCCACAACUGAGAAGGAACUUUUUGCUAUAGUCUUUGCUUUUGACAAGUUUUGACCAUAUCUCAUUGGGAAUAAGGUGAUAGUCUACACUGAUCAUUCGGCAAUUUAAGACCUUAUCAUGAAGAAGGAAGCCAAGCCAAGACUCGUCCGUUGGGUUCUCUUGCUGCAAGAAUUUGAUAUUAAGAUUAAAGACAGGAAGGGAACUGAAAAUAUGGUGGCAGAUUAUCUCUCACGGCUAGAGUCACAGGAGCAACUUGAGUCCCAACAACUGCCCAUAGAUGAUAAAUUCCCGGAUGAGCAACUUUUAGCUAUUUCUUCUAACAAUCAUUUACUAUGGUAUGCAGAUUAUGUCAAUUUUCUUGCAGGAAAAAUCAUUCCCUCCGACUUUUCUUAUCAACAAAAGAAGAAACUUCUGUCGGAAGUAAAGCAUUACUAUUGGGAAGAACCAACACUCUACAGGCAUUGUGUGGACCAAAUAAUCAAGCGAUGUGUUUCGGAAGAGGAGAUGACAGAUAUUUUGAUGCAUUGCCAUACACUAGAAUGUGGAGGGCAUUUCGGACCUCAUCGGACAGCAGCUAAAGUUCUCCAAUCCGAAUUUUAUUGGCCAACAUUGUUCAAGGAUUCUCAUACUUUUAUUGCCUCUUGUGAUAGAUGUCAACGCUCCGGGAACAUAUCUAAAAGAAAUGAAAUGCCUUUGCAGAAUAUUCUAGAGGUGGAGUUGGUUGACGUUUGGGGUAUUGACGUCGUGGGACCCUUUCCUUCAUCCUACAACAACAAAUGCAUUCUUCUAGCAGUAGAUUAUGUAUCUAAAUGGGUAGAGGCAAUCACAACUCCUACUCAUGAUGGAAAAGUGGUGCAGAAUUUUCUCCAAAAGAAUAUUUUUUCCAGAUUUGGGACUCCUAGGGCCAUUAUUAGCGAUGAAGGGACUCACUUUUGUAACAAGCAGUUUGAAGCUCUAUUAUUAAAAUAUGGAGUUAGACAUCGAAGAGCAUUGGCUUAUCACCCUCAGACAAAUGGACAAGCGGAGAUAUCAAAUAGGGAGGUGAAGCAAAUUCUAGAGAAAACAGUUAACAAUUCUCGAAAAGACUGGGCUAAAAAGCUAGAUGAUACGCUGUGGGCUUAUUGGACAGCAUACAAAACUCCUUUGGGAAUGUCUCCUUAUCGGUUAGUCUAUGAAAAAGCAUGUCACCUUUCUGUAGAGCUCGACACGAAGCUUAUUGGGCGAUGAAGCAACUAAACAUGGAUCUUCAAGCAGCUGGUGAAAAGCGUUGUUUGCAAAUUAAUGAGAUGGACGAGUUUCGUAAUGAAGCUUAUGAGAAUCCAAGGAUUUACAAGGAACGGACCAAGGCUUGGCAUGAUAAGCACAUCUCAAAGAAAGAGUUUCUACCUGGACAACAAGUUUUACUUUACAAUUCAAUGCUUCGUCUUUUUCCAGGAAAGCUCAAAUCUCUAUGGUCAGGCCCAUUCACAGUUGUUAAAGUUUUUUCCCCAUAGAGCAGUGAAAAUUACUCAUGAUGAGAAGGGGACAUUUAAAGUGAAUGGACAACGGUUGAAACCUUAUUUAAGUGGAGAAUUUGACAACAAAAAGACCACCUUUCUUCUUGAUCCAGCCUAGAAGAAGAGCAACAGUCAAGCUAUUGACUAUAACUAAGCGCUUCUUGGGAGGCAACACAAUCAUUCAAACCUCUGUUUUGCUUUUUUUUUUUUUUUUAUUCCCUUGCAAUUUGUUUAGUUUUCUAUAUUCUUCUUUUCGUUAAUUACUUUGUGUGUUUUCUAAUUUCAAUUUAUUUAUUUAUUUUGGGUGUGGCAGUAACACGGUUCUCCACCUUCUUGCUCCAGUACUUGAAUGCAUUGAUGAGGAUGCCAAGAGAGAUGAAGCUUGAUCCAUCGCCACCAAUGAACAGGGAAGUUUCUUCUUAUCAUUUUUUCCCUUUCUUUGUUCCACAUUGAGGACAAUGUUAGGUUUUAGUCGGGGGGUGUUGAGCAUGAAUAUAUGCAUUCCUGUUUGCAUGAAUUCAGAUUUGGUAUCAAGAAUGCAUUCCAAUUUACAUGAAUUCAGCUUUGGUAUUUUGGCUUGAUUACAAUGUAUUUUUGCUUGAGUCAAUAGUGCUAUCUGAGUAAGAUAUUAAAACACCUCAGAAAUUUUUUCUUUUCAUACACGUAAACUAAGCUCAUGUGGUUUGAUGGAUGUGGAACUCAUACAAUUAGAGAACACUCAAAUUAAAGUUGCAACCUUUUACACUUGUGAGCAAUUGGGCCAUUCUCACUUUUCUGAGAGAUGUUAUCAUAUUCUUAAUAUUACCUUCAACAUUGUCUCAUUACAAGAUCUCAUUAUUCCCCAAAUUUGGUUGAUUAAUGGGAAUGCCAUUACACGGUUUGUGGUAUGUUGGUUUGAUUAUACUCAGGAAAUGAUGAAGAUCAAUUUAGAAUGUAGUUUAAGCCUUUCAAGCCGACCAAUGUCUCAUUGAAUAGAAGUCACUUUGAGCUAAAAUCUCAUCAGUCUUUGUUAAGCCAUUUAUUUCCUCACCCACUCCACAUUGUAGGUUGAGCCUAAGUUGAACAUCUCCUUUGCCUUCAAAUAUCAAGUAUGUAGUAUAGAUUAUGGAAUAUGCUGUUGAAAAAAAAAAUUUCAGAAAUGAAUGAAGAAAGGGUAUGAAAAAUAUUUUAAAGCAAGGUGUGUUGUUGCGAAAAUCCCAAAAAAUAAAAUAAAAUAAAAUUUUACCAUUGUACACAAUUACAGUCGCAUACUUGAUCAAAUGUCUCACACGUGGGGCCCCCUUGGUGGAAAAAUGGGCACCAGACAGCCCUUAAGUCUACAAGUUGAUGAAGAUCCUCAGUAUAUACUUGAGAAUUAAUAUUUUUCUUCAAUCUUCUUAUCCUUCCUUUCAAUUUGACCCCAGUCAUAUUACAACCCUUUAUUGACCUUUUGAUCCUAAGUGGGUUAGUGGUUAGAAUGGUUGAGUUCCCAUUAGUUGGCAUCCUCUCAUGAGAUCAAUUUUGUUAUUUCACUCUUUUGCUCCUAUUUCACUCAUUUGCCCGCAGACAAUUAUUAUUCCUUCCAUAUAUUUGAGAGGCAAUUUUUUUCAACCUUCAUUACCUCUGUUGGCAAUAGAUUUUUUUUUUUUUAUGGCUGAAUAUUACACUUAAUAUUUGCAAAAAUAACUUUUGUCUGGGAUGUUCUCGACACUGUAUGAGUUUUGGUUUGAUGGAAAGAUGGUGAAGAGCUUAACACACACACACACACACGAGUUCUAGGAGUGUGCUUUGACAGACAAACUUUGAGAGCAUUGUUGAUCUCUGGUGAAUGCUUUGUUUGAUGUGCCUGAAUAUUUUUGCUUAAUUCGUGUAAAAGGAUUUUCACUUGGGAUAGGUAGCAAUACUCUUUCUUCGCUUGAAUUGCUAGGGACUAGCAAGAUGCUAAUUGGGGGGUGUGAUAGAGUGAAUAAGAUUGCAUUUUUAAUGCUGGUUGCUCAUGAUUAUUUGCUAAUAUACAAGUAUAUUUGGGAUUAAUAAUGAUAUUUUUAUAUAGUUGAAUGAAGGUCAAUCCUAAUUGUGGUGUUUACAAUUGGGAACAUCACACAAAUCCUAUAUUUAAAAAUCACAUUUCACAACUAACAAACAUCUAAAAAUCUUUCAAAAAUAAGGUGAUAAUUAAAUUUAUUAAAUAUUUAAUUAUAAUAUAAUUAAUCUACUCUCUCUCCCACCCCAACCCAAAUAACCUAUCAUACUAAAUUUUAAAUUCAAACAAUUCUCUAUCUCUCUCUCUCUCUCAACCCAACCUCAACUUCGGCAACCCACCUUACCUCCGGCAACCUGCUCCAAUGAGAAUUUCGGCGAUCGCUCCAGCCAGAAUUCCGGCAACCCGCCUCACCUCCAGCAAGAAUUCCUGCGAUCGCUCCGGCGACAAAUUCUUCACCGGAAAAUAUUCCGGCAACGACUUAGGCGAUCGUUCCAACAAAUGACACUGCACAUUUUUUCAAUUUUUUUUGAUAAAUGACUUUUGACCAAUUUCAUUGGAUUUGUGACAUGUACAUAUUGUGACCUGUGACCAAUUCUAUUAAAUCUGUGACCUAAUCAUGCAGGACGAAUAUUACAUAUGAUCAAUUUCAAAAUUAAGAAAAUAAAGUUUGAAAUUUCAAAAAUCAUACUAUUAAAAUUUUCAACAAAUUAUUCCAGCGGCCUUCGGCAACUACCUUUUUUCCCCCUUCUUCUCUUCUUCUUUUGUUUUUUUGGAAAUGAUCUGUAACUAACUUUAUUGACUUUGUGACCUAAUCAGGUGGGAUGAAUAUGCAUAUAACAAAACCUGUGUUGCAUGUGAUCAAAAUUUUUUACGACAAGAUCUAUAUUAUAUGUAACUAAUUGUGACCAAACUUAUAUUCGGUGUGAUUGUUUAAUUUAUAAUCGUAUAUAACCAAGUCACUAUUUGUGUAAUUUGUGACUAACUGUGACCAACUUUGUUUUCAGUGUGACUAUCUGUGACCGUCUAAUUUAUGAUUGUCUAUAACCAAGUCACAAACAUAUAUUAGCUGUGAUUAACUGUGACCAAAUUUAUCCUUAUUGUGACUAAAUGUGAUCAAAUUUGUAUUCAGUGUGUCUGUCUGUGACCAGGUCAACCUUUUAACUGUGACGAAAUGUGAUCAAGUCACAAUCAGUUACAAUCAACAUAAAAUUGGUCACAAUCAGUCACAAAUCACAAAUUUUUUAGGUUGAAACUUUUUUAUCGAUCAAAAUUAUUAAAUUAAUUGAUCACCACUUUUUUGGUCACAAAUCACACAUUUUAUAGGCCAAAACUUAUGUAUCAUCACUCAUCAGUCACAAAUUCUCAAAUUUAUUGGUCACAACUUCUUGUCAGUCGUCAAUUUUCAAAUUAAUUAAGUCGAACCAUUUCCUAUCCAAUAGAAAUAAAAAUCCACAAAAUAGAGAAUUUCGAAACGAAAACACAAUCUGUUCCCUUUCUCUCUUUCUUCUCCGCCGACAUAUCAACGAUUAGCCGUCACUCCACGGUGGCUUCACCUCACACAUUUCUUGAAAUCCGUUGCUUAUAAACAUUUAUAUCAACGAUCUGUCAUCCCUUCUCUCUGUCUUCUCCGUCGACUUUUCUUACUUUAUUGCCUAAUGAUGUUUGAAUUCCUCAUAUUAAAUUAAAAAGAAAAUGAAACAAGCAAAAGAAAGAGAUCUAAUAUAUUCACCAAUAAAAACAAAAAUCAGAUCAACAAUGAAAAAUAGCAAAAAAAUAAUAUUGGUAUAAACUAUUUUUUUGUGUGUUUCAGAAAGAGAGGUAGAAAAUGGGUAAGUAUAAAUCUCGAGGAGGUGGGCUAGGGGGAAUCAAGGGAGAGAUGACAGAAAAGUUGGUCCAUGUGCUUGGAGUCCUUGCACCGUGACGCCCAGAAAUGUAGAAUGAUUGGAGAGCCCUUCCUUGUGGUUUGAUCAAGCUCAGCCUUUGAUUUCACCUCCUUCAACGCUCCUUCUCCAUCGCUUGCCAUUUUUUCUAUGAGAUUCUACUAGCUUUUGCUACUCCAAGCGAAAUAGCAGAGUAAUGUAGGGAGAGAAGAUGAUUAGGGUUUCACCACCUCCCCAAUUUUUUCGAGCCCUUCAACAGCUCCGAUCGUGAUUGGAGAUCCAAACCAUAGCUGUGAGGUGACGAUUAGCCUUGCUAUGUCUUCAGGCGGAGUUGUCGUCAGCGAUCUCACGAUGACAUCGCGGUGGAUGUGCUCGUCGGAGUCAGGGGAUUAGAAAAUAGAGAGAGAGAGGGAACAAGAGACAGAUUUAUGGUGUUAUGUAUAUAUUUAUUUAACAUAACAUUAAUUUAAUAAUUUUUAUUUCUCACCUGAAUUAUGAAAUUAAUCUUAAUCCCCUUUAUUUAUGAAAUCUAGUUUUUAAACCCAGGUUACUGGGUAAUUUUCCCUUUACAAUUUUAUUGUAGAAAAUGGAGCCCAAAAAUAACAAAUUUCAAGGCCCAUAAGAGAGGACUCAAUUCAAGUGCACUUAACCCAGCCCAAUCAAAAUAAAAUAGAUUGGAAAGAUUAAUGAAGGGAGCAAAAUCUGUGGAAGACGUCUCUUGCUAUGAAGAAAUCCCGAAUUGGAAACACAUUUGUACUGCCCUUCGUAAUAUCACCAUAUCUCUCUCAUCCGAUGUCGUAUUGAGCUGAUUCAAGAGGCCUUGGAAAGGUAAUUUAACGUGCUACAAUUUCUCCUGAAAUAGAGAUUUUGAAAUUCUCACGUUUUCUAAGUGAAAAAGGGCCCAAAAUCCAAGGCUAAAAAUCUGCCGAAUUGAAGAGGCGAAUUCGGGAUUGAUUCUUUCUUUUCCUGGUGAAGAUGGCUUGAAAGGAGUGGAAGAGGAGGAAAAAAGCAGAGGAUGACCAAGAAGGCUGGGACCAAGGUGGAACGAUUCUUUUCCUUCCCUUUUGGCUAUCAAAAGAGGGAAGCCAUUCCAAGAAAAUGGGAGACCAGAUUCACUGAGUUUUUCUUUCUUCCCAUCUCUUUCAAUUUCUUGAUGUUAACUCUAUAUUUAAACUUUUCUUCAAUUUUAGCAUGAAUUAAUUUCUAUCUUCUAGAGUUUGAGAUGUAGCCUAACUACGAUUAUGUGAAUCUUCAUUUACUUGAAUUAAUUCGUAAAUCAUCCUUUACUUGAAUUAAUUGGUAUUUGUUCCAAUUGUUGAGUAUUUCAUUCUGGACUUAAUGCUUGUGAAUUGACUAAUCACCAUUCACUUGAGUUGGGAUUCAAUUUGAGACAGAGAAGUAAUAAUUGUUUCAGCCAAUGUUUGAGAUACCAUAGGAAUUUUGUAGGAUAGAGAUAUCUAUGGACUUGUGUAAUUUUUAUGGGUUUAUUUUUGUUCUUAAUGAAUCUUGACAGACUUAGAAUUUUCACAGAUAUGUAGAAAAUUUUCUUGUUGAGACAUUUUGUUAAUGCUUGAGAACAAUUAAUGAAUAAAUUAGAAAGACUUGAUUAUCAACAAUUAGGAACACUCACAAUUAAUUCGAUUAGGAUAUUCACAUAUGAGUAUUUAUGGUGAAUCGAAAACUCUAGAGUAUCAUUCCUCGUGGGAUGAUACUCUUACUCAUUCACUUUAUUACUUGUUACGACUUGUGCACUUGCGAUUUCAACCAACAAUGGUCACACCUUUGGGCUAUAAUUCUUGGCUCCCUUCACGCCUCCAAAAGAGUGGUCUUCUUUACUUCUCUUUGUGAGUUUUUCUCUGCUAACUCUCUGCCUCUUUCUCUCAAGCAACCUGUGUGGUUUUCUCUUGGACUAUAUUGAUCUCAUCUUGGCCGAUCCUUUGUGGGUAUGAAUAGCAACCGUAGGUGGAAAGAAGAAAAGAGAGAUUUGGGUGUGUCUCAAUAGUGGUGGUGUCGACUUUGGUGGAAACUGAGCCCGGUAUCACCUUGGGUAUUGCUGGAUUUUGAUAUUUUAUCUUAAAAGUAUUGCAAAUUUGCAAUGAGGAUGAAGAGAUAAUCUGAUUCUUUUGUGUUGUUUACUCAAGAUUCCUUUAUUAUUUUAGAGUUCAUUUAUUAUACUAAUGAUUGAUACCAACUACUGCAUUCACCAAACGGGAAAUGGUAUUCUGAUCCCUGGAGUAAUUUUGACGACUGUACAUGUAAUAAUGGAAUUAUAAUCUAUUUUUAUAUGCAGC